rnacentral:tRNA from 1 species
GGACCCAUUGUCUAUUGGUUCGGGACAUCUGUCUUUCAAGGUGGCCGCGGGGGUUCGGCUUCCCCUGGGGGUA